GACGUAGGGCGCGAGCGUUGUCCGGAUUUAUUGGGCGUAAAGGGCGUGUAGGUGGUAUCGUAAGUCUGGCGUGAAAUUUCUCGGCUUAACCGAGGCAGGUCGUCGGAUACUGCGAGGCUAGAGGACGGUAGAGGCGUGUGGAAUUCCGGGUGUAGCGGUGAAAUGCGUAGAUAUCUGGAGGAACACCGGUGGCGAAGGCGGCAUCCUGGACCAACACUGACGCUGAGGAGCGAAAGCCAGGGGAGCAAACGGG
rnacentral:rRNA from 1 species